rnacentral:misc_RNA from 1 species
GAUGAAGAACGCAGCGAAAUGCGAUACGUAAUGUGAAUUGCAGAAUUCAGUGAAUCAUCGAGUCUUUGAACGCACAUUGCGCCCCCUGGUAUUCCGGGGGGCAUGCCUGUCCGGGCGUCAUUGCUGCCCUCAAGCACGGCUUGUGUGUUGGGCCUCCGUCCUCCUCCCGGGGGACGGGCCCGAAAGGCAGCGGCGGCACCGCGUCCGGUCCUCGAGCGUAUGGGGCUUCGUCACCCGCUCUUGUAGGCCCGGCCGGCGCUUGCCGACACAUCAAUCUUUUUUCCAGGUUGACCUCGGAUCAGGUAGGGAUACCCGCUGAACUUAAGCAUAUCAAUAAGCGGAUGA